GAUGAACGCUGGCGGCGUGCCUAAUACAUGCAAGUCGAGCGAACGGACUAGAAGCUUGCUUCUCUUAUGUUAGCGGCGGACGGGUGAGUAACACGUGGAUAACCUACCUAUAAGACUGGGAUAACUUCGGGAAACCGUAGCUAAUACCGGAUAAUAUUUUGAACCGCAUGGUUCAAAAGUGAAAGACGGUCUUGCUGUCACUUAUAGAUGGAUCCGCGCUGCAUUAGCUAGUUGGUAAGGUAACGGCUUACCAAGGCAACGAUGCAUAGCCGACCUGAGAGGGUGAUCGGCCACACUGGAACUGAGACACGGUCCAGACUCCUACGGGAGGCAGCAGUAGGGAAUAUUCCGCAAUGGGCGAAAGCCUGACGGAGCAACGCCGCGUGAGUGAUGAAGGUCUUCGGAUCGUAAAACUCUGUUAUUAGGGAAGAACAUAUGUGUAAGUAACUGUGCACAUCUUGACGGUACCUAAUCAGAAAGCCACGGCUAACUACGUG
rnacentral:rRNA from 1 species